GAAUGUGAUAGAACCGGUUUGUUCUUUUGCUGUUCGGUGGCUGAAUAAGUGCCUCUGGUAGCAGAUCAGUGUCUCACAGUUGUAAGUGUUAGUGUGACGGUGGAACGUUCUGAUCUGCUCCAUCACAUCCAUAACCUCCAUUAUGACAAAGGUCGGAACAGGAGUCUUAUUUUAGGCUGAGUUUGUCAUCGGACACAGAGGAUAAACCACACCAACCCCUGCCGUCUGUCACUGCAAACAGGAAAUAAGGUCACUGUGCAAUGGGUGGAUCCUCCUCUAAAAAAACAUUUUUCUGGCAAAAGAAGAAAAAGUCGCCAGUGAGCAGAGCCUGGGGUCGCCUGAAGGGGGCGCUGCCCAUCAAGAAACGCAGGAGGAAGAGCAUUGUAGACAUACUGAACCUGGACAACCUGAGGAAGGACAAGAAACAUUCCCAAAAGAGAUUCUCCCUGAAAACACACAAGAAAGAGCCGACGCUAGUGGAAAAACUGGGAAACAUAAGGAAGGAGUCGCUUCACAGUGUUUUGAAGGAAGACGGAAAAGGAGAGAGGAAGAAGAAGUUAUCUCUCUCUGUGAACACAAAGGAAGACAAGGAGAUAAAGGAUGCACAAAACAAACCCAAAAAGAGCCUAAACAGAAUCUGAAGGAGCUCUUCAAGUCCAUUCAUUCAUGACUACAGUUAAAGGUUACAGUUUGAGGACAGGGAUGAAGAAGAAAAAAAAAAAGACAAAAGCAGUCACAGAGAUGCGUCUUAAUUUUCAUUGACAUUGAAGCCA